UGGGGAAUUUUGGACAAUGGGGGAAACCCUGAUCCAGCCAUCCCGCGUGUGCGAUGAAGGCCUUCGGGUUGUAAAGCACUUUUGGCAGGAAAGAAACGUCGCGGGUUAAUACCCCGCGAAACUGACGGUACCUGCAGAAUAAGCACCGGCUAACUACGUGCCAGCAGCCGCGGUAAUACGUAGGGUGCAAGCGUUAAUCGGAAUUACUGGGCGUAAAGCGUGCGCAGGCGGUUCGGAAAGAAAGAUGUGAAAUCCCAGAGCUUAACUUUGGGAACUGCAUUUUUAACUACCGGGCUAGAGUGUGUCAGAGGGAGGUGGAAUUCCGCGUGUAGCAGUGAAAUGCGUAGAUAUGCGGAGGAACACCGAUGGCGAAGGCAGCCUCCUGGGAUAACACUGACGCUCAUGCACGAAAGCGUGGGGAGCAAACAGGAUUAGAUACCCUGGUAGUCCACGCCCUAAACGAUGUCAACUAGCUGUUGGGGGCCUUCGGGCCUUGGUAGCGCAGCUAACGCGUGAAGUUGGACCGCCUGGGGAGUACGGUCGCAAGAUUAAAACUCAAAUGAAUUGAC
rnacentral:rRNA from 1 species